CAGCUCUCAGUUCUUUGAAGGUGAUGUUUUGACUCUGAGCUGUGAGGAGGAUGACAGCUCUGCUGGAUGGACUCUGAGGAGAAACACAAGCAAACGACAGAGGACUCAGUGUGGAGAUGGGUGGGGAAAACCAGCUGAUUCGUCCUGUAAUAUCACUAUGAUGGUGCCUCAUGACAGUGGAAUAUAUUGGUGUGAGUCCAGAGAGGGUCCCAUCAGUAACAUGGUUAACCUGACAGUCACUGGUGGAUCAGUGAUCCUGCAGAGUCCUGUCCUCCCUGUGAUG